rnacentral:rRNA from 1 species
AACGAACGCUGGCGGCAUGCCUAACACAUGCAAGUCGAACGAGACCUUCGGGUCUAGUGGCGCACGGGUGCGUAACGCGUGGGAAUCUGCCCUUAGGUUCGGAAUAACUUCGGGAAACUGAAGCUAAUACCGGAUGAUGACGUAAGUCCAAAGAUUUAUCGCCUAAGGAUGAGCCCGCGUUGGAUUAGCUAGUUGGUGAGGUAAAGGCUCACCAAGGCGACGAUCCAUAGCUGGUCUGAGAGGAUGAUCAGCCACACUGGGACUGAGACACGGCCCAGACUCCUACGGGAGGCAGCAGUGGGGAAUAUUGGACAAUGGGCGAAAGCCUGAUCCAGCAAUGCCGCGUGAGUGAUGAAGGGCCUUAGGGUUGUAAAGCUCUUUUACCCGGGUAUGAUAAAUGACAGUACCGGGAGGAAUAAGCUCCGGCUAACUCCGUGCCAGCAGCCGCGGUAAAGU